AUCCAAAUGAUGAGUCCCAAAGGGGACGAAAUGCGCAUCCUGGAU
rnacentral:hammerhead_ribozyme from 1 species